CCUUGACAUCCAGAGAACUUAGCAGAGAUGCUUUGGUGCCUUCGGGAACUCUGAGACAGGUGCUGCAUGGCUGUCGUCAGCUCGUGUUGUGAAAUGUUGGGUUAGGUCCGCAACGAGCGCAACCCUUAUCCUUUGUUGCCAGCGGUUCGGCCGGGAACUCAAAGGAGACUGCCGGUGAUAAACCGGAGGAAGGUGGGGAUGACGUCAAGUCAUCAUGGCCCUUACGGCCAGGGCUACACACGUGCUACAAUGGCGCAUACAAAGAGAAGCGACCUCGCGAGAGCAAGCGGACCUCAUAAAGUGCGUCGUAGUCCGGAUUGGAGUCUGCAACUCGACUCCAUGAAGUCGGAAUCGCUAGUAAUCGUAGAUCAGAAUGCUACGGUGAAUACGUUCCCGGGCCUUGUACACACCGCCCGUCACACCAUGGGAGUGGGUUGCAAAAGAAGUAGGUAGCUUAACCUCCGGGAGGGCGCUUACCACUUUGUGAUUCAUGACUGGGGUGAAGUCGUAACAAGGUAAGCGUACGUGU
rnacentral:rRNA from 1 species